GCUUGCUGGGACGCGUAGUCCCAGUGGCCCCUGCGGCCCCACCCAGGAGUACCUGUUCUGGAGUUCCAGGACCCCACAGCAGCACCGUGAAACUUGGGACCCCGGAGCACUCAGGACCGGAUGACUGCCAGGAAUCUGGGGAGCAGCGGGAUCCCCAGAGUGCGUGUAACUUCAGAGCUCCCCGGAAACCUAGACUGCCCGGAAUUCUGGAGUGCCCCAAACCCGCAAAAUGCCUGGAGCACACCCGACCCGGGUGUUGCACAUCCUGGAGUACCAGGACUUCAGAGUGCCUGGACCCCAGGAGUGACCCUUUCCCCCACAGUGCCAGAAUCCGCGGAACCUGAGUAUCCCUGACAUCACUAUCCCAGAUCUGGUAGUGCCCAGACUCAGAAGUGCCUGGAACCCCAGAGUGGCCCCAACCCUGUGUCCCAGACCUGGGAAUACUCUGAUCCCCCAGGAUGGAUCACCAGAGUGCCCCGAGCAAUCUUUCACUAGUACCUCAACUCAAGGAACUACACAUGGGACAUUAUCUAUAUCAUGGAAUUCUGUGACAUCCUGAACAAGCUGGGACCCAUCUGUGUGGACACAACUUGAAGAGACUAGCAUUUGAACUGGUUUACUUCUGAGGCAAGAUGGUAACUGUUAUAAAAGACGCAAACCUGGCCCUUCCCAGCUCUCUCUACCACUGUUUUGGGAUUUGAUCCCAAAAACACAUGUUCUCACCAUUGCUAUAUACCAUGAAGUUCUAUAGCCAAGGAGGACCUGUACCAGAGCCUGAACCAUGUGUGCACAAAACUGUG
rnacentral:lncRNA from 1 species